rnacentral:rRNA from 1 species
GACGAACGCUGGCGGCGUGCCUAAUACAUGCAAGUCGAACGCAGUGGGGACGGGUGAGUAACACGUGGGUAACCUCCCAUCAGAGGGGAUACCACUUGGAAACAGGUGCUAAACCGCUACUGAUGGAUGGACACGCGGUGGAUUGGCUAGUUGGUGCAGUAACGGCUCACCAAGGCCACGAGGCAUAGCCGACCUGAGAGGGUGAUCAGCAACACGGGGACUGAGAGACGGCCCAGACUCCUACGGUAGGCAGCAGUAGGGAAUUUUCGGCAAUGGACGAAAGUCUGACCGAGCAAUGCCGCGUGAGUGAAGAAGGUUUUCGGAUCGUAAAAUUCUGUUGUUAGAGAAGCGGUAUCUAACGAGAAAGCCACGGCUAACUACGUGCCAGCAGCCGCGGUAAUAC